rnacentral:rRNA from 1 species
GACGAACGCUGGCGGCGUGCUUAACACAUGCAAGUCGAACGGAAAGGCCCUGCUUUUGUGGGGUGCUCGAGUGGCGAACGGGUGAGUAACACGUGAGUAACCUGCCCUUGACUUUGGGAUAACUUCAGGAAACUGGGGCUAAUACCGGAUAGGAGCUCCUGCUGCAUGGUGGGGGUUGGAAAGUUUCGGCGGUUGGGGAUGGACUCGCGGCUUAUCAGCUUGUUGGUGGGGUAGUGGCUUACCAAGGCUUUGACGGGUAGCCGGCCUGAGAGGGUGACCGGCCACAUUGGGACUGAGAUACGGCCCAGACUCCUACGGGAGGCAGCAGUGGGGAAUAUUGCACAAUGGGCGGAAGCCUGAUGCAGCAACGCCGCGUGCGGGAUGACGGCCUUCGGGUUGUAAACCGCUUUCGCCUGUGACGGAGCGUGAGUGACGGUAAUGGGUAAAGAAGCACCGGCUAACUACGUG